AUUGAACGCUGGCGGUAUGCUUAACACAUGCAAGUCGAACGAGUGGCGGACGGGUGAGUAAUGUAUGGGGACUGCCCGAUAGAGGGGGAUAACUACUGGAAACGGUGGCUAAUACCGCAUACUAUCGGAUAACCCAUAUGGGAUUAGCUAGUAGGUGGGGUAAAGGCUCACCUAGGCGACGAUCUCUAGCUGGUCUGAGAGGAUGGUCAGCCACACUGGGACGGAGACACGGCCCAGACUCCUACGGAGGCAGCAGUGGGGAAUAUUGCGCAAUGGGGGCAACCCUGACACAGCCAUGCCGCGUGAAUGAAGAAGGCCUUCGGGUUGUAAAGUUCUUUCGGUAGCGAGGCGUUAACUACAGAAGAAGCACCGGCUAACUCCGUGCCAGCCGCCGCGGUAAUAC
rnacentral:rRNA from 1 species